ACUAUUUUGGCAGAAAAAAUGUGGUGAUUUUAGAAAUCACUAAUGUAUAAAUUAUUAUAUAGGUAGUA
rnacentral:tRNA from 1 species